rnacentral:rRNA from 1 species
UACGUAGGGUGCAAGCGUUGUCCGGAAUUAUUGGGCGUAAAGAGCUCGUAGGCGGCUUGUCGCGUCGGCUGUGAAAACCUGGGGCUCAACCCCGGGCCUGCAGUCGAUACGGGCAGGCUAGAGUCCGGUAGGGGAGACUGGAAUUCCUGGUGUAGCGGUGAAAUGCGCAGAUAUCAGGAGGAACACCGGUGGCGAAGGCGGGUCUCUGGGCCGGAACUGACGCUAAGGAGCGAAAGCGUGGGGAGCGAACAGG